rnacentral:rRNA from 1 species
CAGCCGCCGCGGUAACACGGAGGGAGCUAGCGUUGUUCGGAAUUACUGGGCGUAAAGCGCACGUAGGCGGUUAUUCAAGUCAGAGGUGAAAGCCCGGGGCUCAACCCCGGAACUGCCUUUGAAACUAGAUGACUAGAAUCUUGGAGAGGUCAGUGGAAUUCCGAGUGUAGAGGUGAAAUUCGUAGAUAUUCGGAAGAACACCAGUGGCGAAGGCGACUGACUGGACAAGUAUUGACGCUGAGGUGCGAAAGCGUGGGGAGCAAACAAGAUUAGAUACCCCUGUAGUCCCUGUCUCUUAUAC